rnacentral:rRNA from 1 species
UAAUACGGAGGGUGCAAGCGUUAUCCGGAAUCACUGGGUUUAAAGGGUGCGUAGGCGGGGGAUUAAGUCAGUGGUGAAAGCCUGUAGCUUAACUACAGAAUUGCCAUUGAUACUGAUUUUCUUGAAUUGGGUUGAGGUUAGCGGAAUGUGACAUGUAACGGUGAAAUGUUUAGAUAUGUCAUGGAACACCGAUUGCGAAGGCAGCUAGCUGGGCCUUGAUUGACGCUGAGGCACGAAAGCGUGGGUAGCGAACAGGAUUAGAUACCCUGGUAGUCCACGCCCUAAACGAUGCUAACUCGAUGUUUGGAUUUAGGUUUGAGCAUCCAAGGGAAACCGAUAAGUUAGCCACCUGGGGAGUACGACCGCAAGGUUGAAACUCAAAGGAAUUGACGG